CUACGGGCGGCAGCAGUGGGGAAUAUUGCACAAUGGGCGCAAGCCUGAUGCAGCCAUGCCGCGUGUAUGAAGAAGGCCUUCGGGUUUUAAAGUACUUUCAGCGGGGAGGAAGGGAGUAAAGUUAAUACCUUUGCUCAUUGACGUUACCCGCAGAAGAAGCACCGGCUAACUCCGUGCCAGCAGCCGCGGUAAUACGGAGGGUGCAAGCGUUAAUCGGAAUUACUGGGCGUAAGGCGCACGCAGGCGGUUUGUUAAGUCAGAUGUGAAAUCCCCGGGCUCAACCUGGGAACUGCAUCUGAUACUGGCAAGCUUGAGUCGCGUAGAGGGGGGUAGAAUUCCAGGUGUAGCGGUGAAAUGCGUAGAGAUCUGGAGGAAUACCGGUGGCGAAGGCGGCCCCCUGGACGAAGACUGACGCUCAGGUGCGAAAGCGUGGGGAGCAAACAGGAUUAGAUACCCCCGUAGUC
rnacentral:rRNA from 1 species